GUGCUUGCUUCCGCAGCACAUAUACUAGAAUUGGAAAGAUACAGAGAAGAUUAGCAUGGCCCCUGUGCAAGGAUGACAUGCAAAUUCGUGAAGUGUUCCAUAUUUUU
ensembl:snRNA RNU6-1124P RNA, U6 small nuclear 1124, pseudogene